GGACAUGUGGCCGAGUGGUUAUGGCGGUAGACUCAAGUUCUACUGGAGAGAUCCGCAUGGGUUCGAAUCCCAUCGUGUUCA
rnacentral:tRNA from 2 species